rnacentral:rRNA from 1 species
CCGGCACGGGUGAGUAACACGUAUCCAACCUGCCGUCUACUCUUGGACAGCCUUCUGAAAGGAAGAUUAAUACAAGAUGGCAUCAUGAGUUCGCAUGUUCACAUGAUUAAAGGUAUUCCGGUAGACGAUGGGGAUGCGUUCCAUUAGAUAGUAGGCGGGGUAACGGCCCACCCAGUCUUCGAUGGAUAGGGGUUCUGAGAGGAAGGUCCCCCACAUUGGAACUGAGACACGGUCCAA